rnacentral:lncRNA from 1 species
AGAGACCGGGAUGACACGGGCCUAGGAACUGAGCCGUGACAGUGACCAAGGCAAACGGAGCUUUAGGGAGAAGACACAGCCUCCUCGAAGACAACAGUCUUGCAAGCUUGAAGGAGAGGCUGGAGAAGCCCCAGCGGGAAGAGAGCAGGUGGAAGGCACGGGGAAGGGGGGAAAGGCGGCAAAGACACCGUCCUCCCCGCUGGACAUUUAGGCUACAGACCAAGGAGCUAGGCUAACGAGGUGUAAGUACAGCCCCGCAAAGUUGCAGUGGAGAGUUAAUGAGUCAAAAGAAAAGUCGCAAGGAAACCCCAGCCCCUGGUGGUUGGUCUUCACCGCUCACAACGUGUCACAUGUGGCCUUAGGCUUUCACGGGAAGUACCUAGAGUCCCCUCGACCGAGAAGCACGAUGUUGAGAGUUUCGCGUGGAGGACCAAAAAGCCUUAAAGAGAAGGACUUCGGACCGUCUGGCUCAACGACAAGUGAACACGGUCGGAUUUACCAGGAAGAUGCCGCCUCAAGCUGCUUUCCUCUGGAGACGGAGGGGUCACUUUUGUGACGGUUUUGAAAGCAGGAAAAUUCCGGAGACCUGGCAAAAAGAUCCGACCUCAAGGUCUGCCCGCUUAGAGGGCGUUCUUUAGCGAUGAGGUGUCAUUGUACAUGUGGAACCUGAAAUACUGAGUUUCUUUGUACAUCAGAACUAAAUAUCCCGUUUUACUGCUGCAUCCACUGCUGAUGUCUUUGAAGCCUUGCAAGAAGAAAAUCACUACCUUACGAGCAGUCUUAACUGAAUCAGCUAUUUUGCACCAAUCAAAAAUGUAUCUAUUUUUAUCAGGAUACAAAAAAAAAAAAAAAAAAAAACCCCAAUACGUCUAUAAGUAAUACAAAGUUGAGGAUACAGGUGCUAAUUGAUUGACAUCCCCUAAGAGCACCGCCUCCCACCUCCGCACACCCUGGUCUGACGUCCAAUUUUAAAUUAAGACUGGUAGAUAAAUUCUAUUUUCUGUAAUUUCAUUCAGCUCUAGGCCCGAGUUGUUUGGGAGCUACUGGCCUGAGGCACUAAGAUUCUCAUCAAAGGGACAGACUAACGAGGGUUUCUUUCCAAGAUCAAAGCAUGUCUUUGUUUCUGGGUGAUUACUUUUCUUUUAACGGCGGUGUUUAUUUUUGUACACAUGGUCCUUUUUGUUUGUUAUCUAAGAUGUUGUGAAAAUAUUGCUGCCAGGACUUCAGCGCCGAGUGGGACCCUCUCGGCCUCAGUUUCUCUGGGCGUCUGUUCUGGGCUCAACUGACCUGUGGGGACGGGACUCCCCGCCCUCCCGCCUGGCCCCUGGGCCGUCUGCCACCCACCUCUUCAGCUAUCAAAGGCUCUUUGGCCAGAGCGGUAUGUUUUGGUUUCAUCUCCAGGUACUUUGGACUCGGGAAUGUUUGGCAGGAGAGAGAAAAACAGAAAAGGUCAGUUUCACUUGAGGCCCCAUGAUGCCAGCGGUCGUUUCCCACAAGUGACCCGGCUCUGACUCAGCUUUCACUUUUCUUGUGACGGCGUCUCUGAUGGCAUCCACAUUCCAGAUCAGCCGGCGAGGGAGCAGCGCGAAUCUUGGCAUCCACACGGCGGAUGCUCAGCCUCCAGCCGGGCCAUCUCCUGCCGCCUGUCUUUUCCCCGCAGGGGUGCAAGCUGGCAGGUAGACCCGGGGGCCCCCAGUUUUGAUCUGCGUGGUAUUUUUAGGGGAGAGACUGUGAGCCAACAUUGAAAAAAGGGGAAGAGUUGAUGUACGCAUCUAGGUGGCCGUCUGCUGAAAGUGGUGGCCAUCUAGCAAGACGAGAGCCGCAUCUCCCCGAGGCUGCAGCGGGCCAGAGAUGAGGGGGUAGCCCCUGCCUUUUGCAGGGGAACUGCCUUCUUCCCUUUUCCGCAGUCUCCAGCACGCCUCACAGUGGCCCCUGCUGAGGUCAGGUGAUCCUUGCCAGUCACGAUGGUGCUUAUACGCCAGUUUUUCUUACUUCCAGCCUGCAUUUCUCUCUCUAUGCCUUUCUUGGCCCACGCAGGUAUUUGGAUUUGCAGCCUCUCCUCCACGAAGUAUUUUAUUCAUAAAAUCCCAGCUUUGGGCGCUUUGGGAAGCCAUCCAGUUAAAUGGCUAAGCGUAUUUUAUUAACCACAUUGACUUCCUUUAGGCCCUGUCACUGUCACUUGGGGUUCCUCCCCUUGUCUUCUCCUGAGAAUAGGCUGGUAUUGUUUCCCACCGGACACAGAAGUCAGCCUGUCAAAGUCAGGCAGGGGACAGGCACAGGGGACGUCCCAUUUUACGAUGGACCUUUUACCUGGAUGGUCUCAGGUAGCUCUCAGGACAACUCGGAAAGGACUUUUUAUCACCUCUGCUUUAUAGACGGAAAGGUCACGGGGGGUGAGGAGCUGGCCCAGGACAACACAGUGGGUGGGGGUGGGGUGGAGCCCAAACAGAGUCCCUCCCAUCUUGCUCCCUCACAGAAGAUGGUACUGCCUUGUCGAGUCCUGGGCUUGACAGUUGGAAAUCUUUAAUUAUUGUCAGAGGAGCGCUAGAAUUCCCCAGCUGGAUGUCUUUAAAGACAAAGACUGUAUUUUACUGUUAUUAUCAUUACUAGGGAUGUGCCCCCAGCAUGUGGAAGUUUCUGGGCCAGGGAUGGAACCCACACCAUGGCAGUGGCAACGCCAGGUCCUUAAUCUAUUGUACCACCAGGAAACUCCCAAAGGUUGUAUUUUAAAACAAGGCAAAGAGAAAGAGAGCUAUCAUGAGUGGUUUCUGGGUUUGAAAACUAUUUCGAUUUUCUAAGGACUGACGGUUCAUAUAACCUGCAUGGCUGUCAUUCUGCAUCUCUCACAUGCGAUCCCGUGUAUUCUGACUGCAAGUCAUUAUUCGAUGGUGUGGGAGGAAGACGACUCUCCAGCGUUCAGGCUUGGAAUGAGCAGCUUCCUCCUGCUCCCUUUCCGACCAAGCCCUCUGCUCUGGGCGUUACUUCUCAGCUGCUGGAGGAGAAGGUAUUUCCCUUUCCUUCUGACAUUUCAGAGAUGCCAUUUGAUAUGUCAGCUGAUGUGGUCAUUUUUGCUACAGCAACUUACAAAGGCUGCGCUUCUUCCCAACUGCUGCUCUCCCAGGGAUCAUCCCUUACCCAUGGAGACGGCCGUAAAGAGGGGCCGUCCUCUCAAGGCUUUUAAAAGGAUUUCUCUAGAAUCAUAUAUGCAUGUGUGUGUAUGUAUGCAUAUAUGUGUGUAUAUGAGUUUCAAACACUAAAAAAUUUAUUUUGCAAAAUUCACUUCCAGUGAAGGGAGGAAAGGUGAUUUGUGUGACUCCCCCUCCCACCUGGUGACUCAGUUCAUUUCAGGACGAUGGUUUUAAACAGAAUCAUAGCAACGGGGGAGCUUGAUCAACGCUUGCAUCUAUCUUCCUGAAAACUGAAUUCAUACCAACC